UACAGAGGUCUCAAGCGUUGUUCGGAAUCACUGGGUGUAAAGGGUGUGUAGGCGGCGUGUUAAGUCAGAUGUGAAAGCCCAGGGCUCAACCUUGGAACUGCAUCCGAUACUGGCAUGCUAGAGAACUGGAGAGGAGUCUAGAAUUCACGGUGUAGCAGUGAAAUGCGUAGAUAUCGGGAGGAACACCUGUGGCGAAAGCGGCGCACUGGACCAUAACUGACGCUGAGGCGCGAAAGCUAGGGGAGCAAACAGG
rnacentral:rRNA from 1 species